UGCUCCGCGGCUAUAAAAGCCCGGACUUCGUGCUGCUGCGCCGCUCUGGAUGUCGCGCAGCGGCUGUGCUGCGAGUGGGUCUAUGGCUGCAUCACCCUUCUGGGAGAUGCUGGUGCUGCUGGCCCAGGAGCCGGGCAUGGAGUGGUUGAAACUGGGCCUCGCCGAGGGGGCGGCAUCGCGGUGCAGCCAAGAAACGGGGCAGGCGGCCUUGGGGCGGCCCAGCGGCUCCGGGCGGUGCGGGGAGUGCGGCGUGGCAGCAGGAGGACAGGCUGGUUCUCGUCAGAAACACUUGCUGGGCCCUCAGCCUCUGAAGACGUUGAUGCUGUUGGAGUGCUCGGGGGAUGUUAGGCUUUGGCAAGCCUACUUGGAGGGGCUGAAGAAAUUCCUUGCCUUUAGGAAGAAGAUGGGAAUGCCUGCAGCUUGGCCCAUCCCAGAGGAUCAAGUUAGAGGAUUUUUAGCUGUGGAGUCUCUUUACUCAUCCUCAAAAACGCUGAUGUAUGUGGCAGCAUUAUCUUACUUAGCAAGGCUGUCUGGUAACGCUGACCCUUUGGAGGAUGCUAUAACCCGCUGUAUGGUAAUGGGCUUGAGACGUCAAGCAGGCAUCCUGAGGGAAAGAUAUGCUCCUAUAACAAUUGAGAUGCUACGAUCUCUCUUAGGAGCUCUGGAAUCUGUGUGUGUAUCCCAUUAUGAAUGCUUACUGUUCCGUGCAUUGUUCACCGUGGCUUUUUUUGGUGCACUUCGAAUAGGAGAGAUGGUAGCAAAGCACCAUAAUGUACUGCAGCCUGAACUGCUGUACCUGAGGGACGUGCAGGUGAUGGAAAGCAGGGUGGCGUUUCGCCUGCGUAACUAUCCUGUCGACCAGGAGAGACCCAUCAUCAGCCUUGCUCUGUCUGGAGAGCCAUGGGUGUGCCCUGUCCUGGCCCUCCGGAGCUAUGUGGCUGUGCGGUCAGGGCUGGAAGGGCCGCUCUUUGUGCACAGAGACAACGUACCUGUAACAAAGAGGAAGUUUCUGACUGUUCUCAGAUGGGCCCUUAGGCUGCUGGGGCUGCCCCUGGAGCAGUACGGUGUGCACUCCUUCUGGCUGGGGACUAUCAUCACUGCCGCACGCUGUGGAUAUCCAAGGGAAGAUGUCACUCGCCUGGCAAGGUGGCCAUGUGUGUUCCCAGGGAAGUCAUAGCCAUGGAGACAGUGGGCAAAAGAAGCGAGUGGUUUCUUUCUGUAGGAGUUCUAACAACAUAGCUUAUAGUCCUUGGCAGUAAUUUAAUGUUACCAUCUGUAAUGAAUGUUCUGCCUCACUGUGGACAUGGCCUAUGAAGUUCACUUGCAUUUGUUUUAAUUGUCUGUACUGUUGGGUGGGGGACUGUCAAACUUGCUGUGCCCACAGAUGCUUUUAUUGUGUAUAACUUCA
rnacentral:lncRNA from 1 species